CAUUGAAUAAACUAUAUCCUAGUCUAAUCAUGAUUAGAUAGAAUUAUCAUGGUCGAACCAACUAUGACAUUGGAUGCUACCACUUUUGUUAGCCUUGUGAAGAUAUCAAAACUUAGAAUUUUUAUUAGUUAUGGCUUAAAAUUGAUAGAAGAAUAUAUUUUGAAUAAUAGAUUCUAAAAGAUGCUCUUUAGAUUGAUUGACUUUGUCUGUUCAUUGUUUCUAUAAA
rnacentral:lncRNA from 1 species